rnacentral:rRNA from 1 species
GUAGGUGGCAAGCGUUGUCCGGAAUUAUUGGGCGUAAAGCGCGCGCAGGCGGUUCUUUAAGUCUGAUGUGAAAGCCCACGGCUCAACCGUGGAGGGUCAUUGGAAACUGGAGAACUUGAGUACAGGAGAGGAAAGCGGAAUUCCACGUGUAGCGGUGAAAUGCGUAGAGAUGUGGAGGAACACCAGUGGCGAAGGCGGCUUUCUGGUCUGUAACUGACGCUGAGGCGCGAAAGCGUGGGGAGCAAACAGGAUUAGAUACCCUGGUAGUCCACGCCGUAAACGAUGAGUGCUAAGUGUUAGGGGGUUUCCGCCCCUUAGUGCUGCAGCUAACGCAUUAAGCACUCCGCCUGGGAGUACGGCCGCAAGGCUG